UUCAGAUAUUCGUAUUUGGAUUAGUGGCGGACGGGUGAGUAACGCGUGAGCAACCUGCCUUACAGAGGGGGAUAACAUCUGGAAACAGAUGCUAAUACCGCAUAACGUAUAAUGAUGACAUCAUUGAUAUACCAAAGGAGCAAUCCGCUGUAAGAUGGGCUCGCGUCCGAUUAGAUAGUUGGUGAGGUAAUGGCUCACCAAGUCGGCGAUCGGUAGCCGGACUGAGAGGUUGAACGGCUACAUUGGGACUGAGACACGGCCCAGACUCCUACGGGAGGCAGCAGUGGGGGAUAUUGCACAAUGGGCGAAAGCCUGAUGCAGCAACGCCGCGUGAGGGAAGACGGUCUUCGGAUUGUAAACCUUUAACUUUGGAGAAGAAAGAAAUGACGGUAUCCAAAGGGGCAGCCACGGCUAACUACGUGCCAGCACCCGCGGUAAUACGUAGGUGGCAAGCGUUGUCCGGAAUUACUGGGUGUAAAGGGAGCGCAGGCGGGGAAGCAAGUCGGCUGUGAAAUGUACAGGCUUAACCUGUAAAUUGCAGUAGAAACUGUUUUUCUUGAGUGGAGUAGAGGUAGGCGGAAUUCCGAGUGUAGCGGUGAAAUGCGUAGAUAUUCGGAGGAACACCAGUGGCGAAGGCGGCCUACUGGGCUCUAACUGACGCUGAGGCUCGAAAGUGUGGGGAGCAAACAGGAUUAGAUACCCUGGUAGUCCACACUGUAACGAUGAUUGCUAGGUGUAGGGGG
rnacentral:rRNA from 1 species